rnacentral:lncRNA from 1 species
AGUUAAAAGAGGACGCAAAAACUUGUCCUACCCAUUCCCUCUUCAAUUUCUUGUGUUCGCUGGCUGUAAGAUGUGUUUCUUGUAGAAACACAAUAUCGGCCUUUAAUUUCUUAAGCUCCGCGGCAUCACGUGUCUCCCCCAAUUGAGAUGGUUUGGAUGAGUUGGACCGCAGAGUGAAGGAAAAGCAGCUAACAAGUUCUCAGCCUAUGUGGGAACUCCUUCAAGACUGUUGGAAAAGCAUUCUAGGUGAAGUUGGUUGAGAGAAAGCCAAGCGUGUGCAAAGCUGUCAUCAAGGCAAAGGGUGGGUACUUUGAGGAAUCUAAAAUCUAAAAUAUAUUUUGAUUUGAUUAACACUUUUUUGUUACUACAUGAUUGGUUACUACAUGAUUCCAUAUGUGUUAUUUCAUUGUUUUGAUGUCUUCACUAUUAUUCUACAAUGUAUAAAAUAGUACAAAUUUAGAAAAACCCUUGAAUGAGUAGGUGUUCUAAAACUUUUGACUGGUACUGUAUAUUCUAAUUUUGUAUUUUUUUUUUGCUAAACAGGUGGGGCUCAAAACAGAUGGGCCUCUGCCCCUCCUUCCCUGAAUGAUGCAUCGCCACUGCAUAUUCUUGACCUUCAACAGAUGCACAGCCUUUGGCAGGGGAAAAAAUGCUCUGCUGUGAGAGUAAAAGUCUCCCACUCAAUGGUGUUCUGUUUCAAAGAUGUAUGAACGCCACCACUGGGAAGACGGACAAACAAACUAAAGCCAAAGACAAAUAUGCUGUUAAAAUUAACAAGAAUGCAGUAAGUUCAAAGACAGAUCACUGUAAUUUAUACCAUACACGUGUACAACAAUUUAAUUUUAAUAAUAUUGAAGAACUAACUAACAAUGGAAUGUUCCUCAAUAAAUUGGAAGAUUACGGGACUUUAAACAGGUGUCCCAACUCUGUGGCCACAAAGGAUCCCAUGGGGUGGUGCUUAUAUUUGUCCUGUUUUCAACUGCAUGUGUAUAUCAUCAAACUAUUCCUAUCAUGUAAUACUGUGUAUAAAAGUACCAUUGUAUGUAAAGUGUAUGAAUAAUGCAUAUGUAACAAAAUAUAUGUAAAAAAAAUAAUUGUAAGUUACUUUUGUCCUCUGAAGAGGGGGGUGGAUGGGCC